CGCGCAGGCGGUCUUGUCCGUCAGGUGUGAAAGCUCGGGGCUCAACCCCGGAAGUGCACUUGAGACAGCAAGACUUGAAUACGGGAGAGGAGAGAGGAAUUCCUGGUGUAGAGGUGAAAUUCGUAGAUAUCAGGAGGAACACCGAUGGCGAAGGCAUCUCUCUGGACCGAUAUUGACGCUGAGGCGCGAAGGCGUGGGUAGCGAACG
rnacentral:rRNA from 1 species